rnacentral:RNase_P_RNA from 1 species
GCGGAGGGCCGGAUGGCCGCGGCGGGGCGACCCGUCGAGGAAAGUCCGGACUCCAUGAGGCAACGGUGCCGGGUAACGCCCGGCGGGGGCGACCCCAGGGAAAGCGCCACAGAGAACAGACCGCCUGCCUUCGGGCCGGCAAGGGUGAAACGGUGGGGUAAGAGCCCACCGGGGGGCUGGCAACAGCGCCCGCAUGGCAAGCCCCACCGGGAGCAAUGCCGAAUAGGGAUCGCGCGCGGGUUCGCCCGCAGGGCCGCCUUGCCCCAGCAGAUCCGGGUAGGCAGCUAGAUCCGGCGGGCAACCGCCGGGCCAGAGGAAUGGCCAUCCAUCCGCGACAGCGGGGGACAGAAUCCGGCUUACAGGCCCUCCGCGCAA